rnacentral:rRNA from 1 species
UACGUAGGGUGCGAGCGUUAAUCGGAAUUACUGGGCGUAAAGCGUGCGUAGGCGGUUGGCAAAGUCAGCUGUGAAAGCCCCGGGCUUAACCUGGGAAUGGCGGUUGAAACUAGUCGACUUGAAUCUGGCAGAGGGGGGUGGAAUUCCGCGUGUAGCAGUGAAAUGCGUAGAGAUGCGGAGGAACACCGAUGGCGAAGGCAGCCCCCUGGGCUAACACUGACGCUCAGGCACGAAAGCGUGGUGAGCAAACAGG